rnacentral:rRNA from 1 species
UGAUAACUGGCGGCGUGCUACCAUGCAAGUCGAACGGAGUUUACUCGCUGAUGAAGACUUCGGCAGAAUCUUGAGUAAACUUAGUGGCGGACGGGUGAGUAACGCGUGGGCAACCUGCCUCAUACUGGGGGAUAGCAGUUGGAAACGACUGAUAAUACCGCAUAAGCGCACGGUAUCGCAUGAUACAGUGUGAAAAACUCCGGUGGUAUGAGAUGGGCCCGCGUCAGAUUAGCUAGUUGGUAAGGUAACGGCUUACCAAGGCGACGAUCUGUAGCCGGACUGAGAGGUCGGACGGCCACAUUGGGACUGAGACACGGCCCAAACUCCUACGGGAGGCAGCAGUGGGGGAUAUUGCACAAUGGAGGAAACUCUGAUGCAGCGACGCCGCGUGAGUGAAGAAGUAUUUCGGUAUGUAAAGCUCUAUCAACAGGGAAAAAAGGCUCGUAAGAGAGAUGACGGUACCUGACUAAAAAGCCCCGGCUAACUACGUGCCAGCAGCCGCGGUAAU